UUGAUAAUUAUGUCACGAAUUAAUCAAUGAAAAUGAGCUAUUGCAAGACACAGCAGUAUACAAAAGACAAACAAGCAAAGAACCUAAACUACUCUCUGAAAUCCACAAAACAUGAGCAAGCUAGAUAUAUAAAGAUUAAAUGUUCCAAGGUACAGUAAAAACCCUUAGGUGGUGGAUUCCUGGAUGUAGAUUUGCUGGCUUCGGUGAAGCAAAGCCUUGCAGAUUAGUUCACGAUCAAUCAGAUCCUUGAGAUAAAAGCCAGGGACCCAUUGACCUGCAAAUCACAAUGAGAAAAAAAUUUAUUUGUUGGUAAAUGGUAGAAAUAACAGCACAGGAAUUACUGAGACUGUGUAAUUGGUCCAUUAAAAUGGAAAACCUGGGGCCACAAGGUAUAGAACAUCAUACAGAUAACAAAUUGGUAUAUAUAAUUUCCAACGGUUCAGUAAAUAUAGUCAUUUAAUUGACUUGCUAUGAAUGCGCUAGCAAACACAAAAUGAGAAACAUUUAAAGAGUAAUACAAUAAAAAAUAGAACAAGCGUAUAAAAACAGUUGAGUUCACAACUCGACACAGAUAGCGCAUAACUUAGCGAGCAGAAGCAAUGCUCAUGAACACAAGUAACAUUACAUGACAAUAAUUCAAGUACAGAUUAAUGCCUUGGCUUUUAUCAUAAGCAGAUGUAGCGCGUUUAAAAACAAUGGCCUUUUAAAAUUUGUAACCAUAUUAAAUGAAUGGCAGAUCAAAUUAACAACACAACAUGAAACUAAGUAUCGUCAAGAACAAAAAUGUUGACUGUCAGAUAAGGAUAUGAACGAACUACAUUUAAUAAAUUCACAACAUUCAUCGGAGUAAAGCAACCCCAAUGUUAUAGCAUACGCAAUAAGAAGGAACAAUGGGUGAUUACCCAAAUACUGUCAGAGAAGGAUAUUGGAGAUUAUGGAGGGUCGAUCUGCUUUCACUUCGAACAGAGCUUGAAGAAAUAUCAGAUUUACCACCUCGGGAGUCGGGACAGCUUGCCCUAAGUGAGCCGGUCUAAGAGCACCGCGCUGUUCACCUCGUUUUGCGUUCACUUACUCCACCUCUACAACUAUACAGCAACCAACAAAUCUACCAUUACAAAUCUGGCAGACACGAACGAACCAAAAGAAGGGUGAAACCUAGCAGACCCGAAUGAACCAGGAGGGACGAAGGGUAAAACCUAGCAGACCGGAACGAAAUUUGCUUGUACUCAACUCAGACAGUAGCUUGUCUUCCAAGAGGACCGCGUUGUUCACCUUGACCUUUUGCUUUCCCUAGCUGCACCUCUGCAGCAACGAACAAAUUUACCAUUGGAAACAUCAAAGACCCGAACGAACCAGAAGAAGGGACGAAGAUGGUGAUCAGCUUGUACUCACCUCGGACAACAGAUCGUCCAACGUGGG
rnacentral:lncRNA from 1 species